rnacentral:rRNA from 1 species
CAUGCAAGUCGAGCGGAUGAAGAGAGCUUGCUUUCUGAUUCAGCGGCGGACGGGUGAGUAAUGCCUAGGAAUCUGCCUGAUAGUGGGGGACAACGUUUCGAAAGGAACGCUAAUACCGCAUACGUCCUACGGGAGAAAGCAGGGGACCUUCGGGCCUUGCGCUAUCAGAUGAGCCUAGGUCGGAUUAGCUAGUUGGUGAGGUAACGGCUCACCAAGGCGACGAUCCGUAACUGGUCUGAGAGGAUGAUCAGUCACACUGGAACUGAGACACGGCCCAGACUCCUACGGGAGGCAGCAGUGGGGAGUAUUGGACAAUGGGCGAAAGCCUGAUCCAGCCAUGCCGCGUGUGUGAAGAAGGUCUUCGGAUUGUAAAGCACUUUAAGUUGGGAGGAAGGGCAUUAACCUAAUACGUUAGUGUUUUGACGUUACCGACAGAAUAAGCACCGGCUAACUUCGUGCCAGCAGCCGUGGUAAUACGAAGGGUGCAAGCGUUAAUCGGAAUUACUGGGCGUAAAGCGCGCGUAGGUGGUUUGUUAAGUUGAAUGUGAAAGCCCCGGGCUCAACCUGGGAACUGCAUCCAAAACUGGCAAGCUAGAGUAUGGCAGAGGGUGGUGGAAUUUCCUGUGUAGCGGUGAAAUGCGUAGAUAUAGGAAGGAACACCAGUGGCGAAGGCGACCACCUGGGCUAAUACCGACACUGAGGUGCGAAAGCGUGGGGAGCAAACAGGAUUAGAUACCCUGGUAGUCCACGCCGUAAACGAUGUCGACUAGCCGUUGGGAUCCUUGAGAUCUUAGUGGCGCAGCUAACGCAUUUAAGUCGACCGCCUGGGGGAGUACGGCCGCAAGGUUAAAACUCAAAUGAAUUGACGGGGGGCCCGCACAAAGCGGUGGAGCAUGUGGGUUUAAUUCGAAAGCAACGGCGAAGAAACCUUACCAGGGCCUUGGACAUUGCAAGAAAACUUU